GGCCGACUGGUGUAGUGGUUAUCACGUCUCGUUCACAAAAAGUUGAAUUUAACUGGGGUUCUUCCCACCGAGAAGGUGCCAGGUUCGAUCCCUGGGUCGGUCA